AAGAGUGGGAAAGCCGCUGGGGGGAGAGAGAAAAGACAGAGAAAGAGGGGCGAAAAGAGAGACAACCAGGCAAGGGGGUGGUGGACACGAAAAGGGAGAGAGAGUGGAGGAGUGAGGAAAUGGGCAGAAGCGGCAAAUCACGGAGAUUCGAUGAGGCCGGAGGAAGAAGGCGGAGGCAGAGACCAGAGCUGCGAGUGGGAAGAGAAGAGAGCCAGCGGCGACGAGGGCUGCAGGGUGGUGGGCGGGACCGUGCGCUAAGCCUUUUCUUUCUCUUUUUUUGGGGUGGGCGGCGGAUCUCCGCCGAGAUAACCCAGCCAAGCCCCCUGCCCCGCGUCCCAGCGAGGGGCCGCAGCUGUAUAAAUACCAGGGGUGGGGGAGCGGGGCUGCUGCAGAGGGGUCAGCGACACCGGAGAAGGCUUUGCUGUCAUUAGCUAAUUGAGCCCCAGAUGUUAAGAAAAGGUUACGUCCUCCUCCGGAGAGUUUUUCUUUUUAAACACUUUACUCCGAUUCCCCGGCCAAAAUGGCCGGGAGGCGCCGCGGCCCUUACCCACCCGGUCCCCAGCCCCCUCCCCUCGUCCCGCCCCCCCAGGGCCCCAGCACCUCCCUACCCCAGAGCUCCCGGAAGCCGCCCGCCGCGGCCGCUGCCCCUGUAAUCCCAGUGGCCUGCCCGGAGGCGCGGCAGGCAGGAGCGGGGACCACCGGCGGCGGAGCCAGCCCCUAGCCCGGGCCGCCGACUGGGAGAUGCAGCUGAGACCAGAGGUGGUGUGUCCUCCCCAAGAUCACAUGGCUUGUUGGUGGCAGAGCAAGAAUGAGAGUCCAGGAAUUGCCCUUCACGGAGUGCCUCCUUGGUGUCGCACACUGCAAUACGUCUGUACACACGAUCUUCAGCAACACGUAUAGUGGAGAUUAUCACCUCCCUUCUGGAGAUGGGGAAGCUAAGGGUGCUCGAGGUCUCCCAUCUAGAACUUGCCAGAGCUGGUUUUGAACUCAGAUCUUCCUAAAAACUUCCCCUUCCACACUCCCAGAAUAUUGGGGCUAAGGAGUGGGGAUUGAGGGCUAAAGAGGGUGUUAUGAGCUCAACAUUUCUAGGGACACAGGGGAAUGGGACACAGGCUGGGAAAAGUCCCUUCCUGUGACUUUAGUCUUGAUUGGCACUCCAUACCUCCCUGAGUGGCCCAAAUACUGAGGUCCUUCAAGAAUUCCCUUUUGAGUGUCUGUGGAAGGGGGGGAAACUUUGGCUGGUGGCCUUUCUGGGUUCUGAGGGUCUGGAGAUGUAAGACAGGCUUGUAUCCACAGAUUCCCCCUGAUUUCCUGCCCUGGGAGGAGGGGGGCAGGGGACACAGUUUGAGUACAGGCAAGUGAUGAUGCCCUAGAGUUUAGCCACCACAUGCCAGAGCCACACCUGGCUUCUCAAGGGCCAAUAAUGCCAUCCCACCCAGCUCCAUAGACGGACUCCAAAGCUUCAUCCUCAUACCUCUCUCCCUUCCUAGCCUCCUUCCGUGGCCUGCCUUACCUAUUCUUAGCUUUCCACUGCCUCCAAUUCACUCAUUCGUCCAUAAAUAUCUUCAUAAAAAUU